rnacentral:lncRNA from 1 species
CCCUUCGCAUCAGUGUGCCUCGCCGUACCGUGUCGUUCGCGCGCGCGUUUCUCUCUCUCUCUCUCUCUCUCUCUCUCUCUCUCUCUCUCUCUCUCUCUCCCUUCCCACCUCUUCCCUCCUCGUCCGCGAGUUUCCCAUUACUUCGCGCCGUCCGUUCGUCCUCUCCCUCUUCCGCGCGUAGUUUCCUCAUUCCUCCCUCGUCCCGUGUCUAUUCGUUUCCAUCGUUGUUUUCUCCUUCCGUUCUUUCCGCCGCGCGUCCUUCCCCCGUUUUUCCUUUCGUUUUCCUUCUCGCGCGGGUUUCACCUUUCUUUUUGCUUCGUUUUCAUUGCUUCGCGUUUUUUUUCCGCUUCCGGCCUCCUUCGUUUCCCGCGCUCGCAGCGCCACUCCUUCUCCUCCGCGCCUAACGUUCGUCUCUAAUUUUCCUCCUUUUCAUCGCGCUUCUAUUAUAUCCCCGUCCGAUGGACCGCCUCGCAUACCUCGCUCGACCACGAUACGCAACCUUCGUCAUUCGCCAUUACUUCGUGGAAACGCUGUUAACCGUAACGCAUCGCCAAACGGUAAAGCAAUUUGCCCGCGUAACAACGACGCGAGUGUUUUCAUUGUCGGCGUUCCAGUUGAUACGAGUUCGGUGGACCACGUCGUCGGGAAGACCGUCCAGAGUGUCCGUGUCCACGUCAUGGUGCAUAAUUGCGCGGAGCCGAGAGGGUCGGCGUUCCAGUUGAUACGAGUUCGAUGGACCACGUCGUCGGGAAGACCGUCCAGAGUGUCCGUGUCCACGUCAUGAUGCAUAAUUGCGCGAAGCCGAGAAGUAAGUAGAUCAACUUGUUACAUGCGUCUCCCCUCGAGAAGGAGCUCCGUUCUUUCCGUCCGUUUCUCUCCGAAAUGUGAAUCAAUGAUAGAUUAAAUACGACAACCGAUACACCGGACGCACCUACGCAUAUUUCGAAAAAUCUCGAUCGCGUGUAAUAAGAGAUGGGCGUUAAUCCGUUUCACACACGGUUUAUAAUGAUUAUUGAUAAUAUUUUAAUCAUCUCUGAUAUAAAUUAUCGAUAAUAACUGUUCGCGAUAAUCUGUUUUUGCGUCAAAUUUCAAGACGGAGUUUAUAAUUUAAUGUUGCGUGGUGUUUCGUUACAUAUGUGUUCAUUUUGAUACAUAAUAUGUGGUGUACGUUUCGACGCAUUUCUUUAAAUGUUUUUUUUUCUGCUAUUACACGAAACUCGACACUAUUGAAUUCGCGGUGUCAAAUUGUACCCAAUUUUAUUUUUCAUCACUCCUACAGAUCGUCAUUAUUUCUACUUGGUAUGUCGUUAAUUUAAACUAAAGCAAUAGAGUUAAACAAUUUAACUCAAGAAAUGUUGAAUUAAAAAACUCAAAUUUAACACAUUAUGUACUAGGUACGUACAUUAAUAAACGUUACUUACUUUGAAACUAAGCAAUUUAACUACACUGAGAAAAAAUUGUUAGUUUGACUCAACUCUAACAUAAGUUAAAUUUCUCAACUAAAUUUAACUUAUUUAAUUCAAGUAUAUAUAUAUUUUUUUUAAUAAAAUGUAUAUAUUUCAAUCAAAUAUAUAAAUACUUGAAUUAAAGUUUAAGUUUUUCAGUUAAAUACAUAAAUAGUUGAGUUGAAGAAAUUUAAUUUAGUUGAAAUUUAGUUGAACAAAUUUGUCAAGUUAAUAAAAUUUUUUUUUAGUACAUAGAAAUUUGAAUAGAUAAAGUUAUUCUUUUAAUUACAUAUUUUAUGUUAAAUUAAUUACUUAUGGCUUACAUAAUAGUUAAAAAUAACAAAAUGUUAUUUAAACCAAGGAAUUAAUUUAAAUUUAAUUCUUUAAUAUUUAACAGUGCGUAAAUAUAUUUUAUCUCGCAUUUUCUGAUACGAAUUGUAGUCUGAUCAUCGUUCAAUUUACAGGAAUAUUCAAUUUUCGGCAACGAGAUAUUAAUCAAAUAACUAUCGUCGACGGGCGCCCAUAGAAUAACAUUCCCAGUGAUAGUAUCUCACCAUUUCACCAAAAUAUCUCUUACGAUGUUAAUAUAUUUCAAUUUUACCUAUGAAUUCUUACUUAUAUAUUUUAUAAUGUAUUCUUAAAUAAUCUCUAGGCAAGAGAGCGAAAGGGGAAAAGAAACAGGGUAGAAAACAUCUGCACGAAGACGUGGAAAAAGGCAUUUUGUAGCUUUGAUCUCGGUUACAAACGGCGACUUCCAUAAAUGGAAUUUUAAUACGUUCUGUACCAAGAUAAAACGCUUACACGACUGUAUGUACUUUCGAUGAUGAUUCACUUCAACAUUCUCUCGUCGUAUUUAUAUUUUAUAAUACGUAUCUUACGCCACACUAGUAAUAUCUGAGAAAGCGAGGUAUUACCCGUUGCCGUAGCCGACGCAUCAAGAGAGAAAGAGAGACAUCCUGUCGCUUUGAUCUCGGUUACGGACGACACAACAGAUAGAAUUUUAAUACACCUUUUAAAGGGGCCAAGUUCUUCAGAAAAUACGCAAAGUGACUUUUCGGCGACGCGUUAACUCAAUUUGCGUUCUCUCAUGUCGCGUCAUCAAGUAACAGCCACUCGCAAAACCAUUGGUGUGUUCUAAUUUACUAAACACUACCACCCACGCGGAACACGUAGCUUCCCUUCCUAGCCUCUCUCGAUCUCUCUCUCUCAAGUUUACGCGGUUCGCUUCAUACAUCAACUUGCGAUUAAUUAUUCAUGUCUGCUCCUUUCGAUAUAUUCCGAGAAAUACAGAAGUUUCUCUGGCUCCUUUACCUAUACGUUGUGCCCAACUCGAAAUAGCUAUUGACGUUACAUAAUGUUCGAAACAUGGAAUCGAUUAAUGCCACUCUGGUACAUGCACCUCAACGAAACUGACGUUUAUUAUGAGAAAGCCGAUGCAUUCAAUACACCAUAGCUCGAACGAGAGAGAAUGAAUUGACGUUCGCGAAAAGUUUGCGUUUUCCCCGACAACGUGUUAGACAUUUGUAUAAUACUAUUCGAACGUAUGCAUAGACUAUUCGGUGUUAAUCAAUGUUAAAGAGAGUGAUUGUGUUGCGAGAGAUAACAAUGCAAUAGCACACGAAACGAUUCAAUCCGCUGUUUGUCUGCAUGAAUAGUAAUACAGCUAUUUUUGCGUAUGCUGUGUACUCGAUCGACAGAAUACCUGCGCUAUGUAAAAAAAAACAAGCUGCAUAGAAAA